CGGGAUCGCUACGACGCGGCGCGGCUUUGCCCCCCGGUGGAGAGAUCUUGCCGCAGCAGCAGCAGCCGGAGGCCGGUGCUCCGGUGGUCGAGGCCGAGCGGCGCCCGCCGACCGCCAUGGCUGGCAGCGACGAGGUCAACCGCAACGAGUGCAAGAGCCCCUCUCGACCUCCGUCUCGCAUCGAAGCGGCCCUCCCCACCUUCCCCUGCUGCUCCGCUGCCUGGCCAUGGACGGCUAGUCAGCUCUUGAUCCGGUCGCAGCCUUAGAUCCGGCCGCAUGGGUGGGUGAGGUGCCGGGCUGGCUGCAGCUCCAACUCGCGCAUGAGAGGAAGGACAUGGAAGCAUGGCCCUCCCAAGCUGCUGGCCACCAACCCCGACUGAGCAAGGUACGACCACCUCUAGCAGUUCAGCAGAGUCGUGGUGGUGGAGAAUGACCACAACAAUGACAGCUCCCAAGUCGCAGGAUGUCUAGUGGGCAGAACCGAGGUACAUUAGAUAGAUACAGGAUAGUUGUUGUCUUCAUUUCUGAAAAUGAAUGGUUAAUCAUCAGAUUCAUUUGUAGAACUGCAAUUCCAUUUUACAGAUAAUUUCUCUUUUUCUUGAUGCAAUCCUCCUGUUUGUUAUUGCCGUUCAAACUAUUGUUUGUUCCCUUGAUUGUUGUGUAACUUCAUUGAUAAUAAUGGCAUAAGAAUUUUAUCAUCAGUGCAUAAUAUAUCUUAUCUUAAAUUAGCUUGUUAACUUUAAGGUUGUACAUGCUAUCACUGGAUACUUGAGUUUGCCUAUUGCAGGGUGCUGUUGAUGUCCUUUAACUUAUUUUGCAAGCAUUCAGCAAAUUACUUAUUGCAGGGUGCUGCUGAUGUCCUUUAACAUAUUCACAUAUUUGUAAACCCUUGAUAAAUACAAUUGCUUUUGUCUUAUAUUUUAUUUCCUUGCAAAAGUUGGUCUGAGCAUUAUAAAGCUGUAUAGUUGUUACCCACUGAUUGUAUACCAAGAAGACAUAAUUGUUAGGCUAAAGAGACAAGCAGGUGUUACAGCAACAUGGAGCAGCACUAGCAUGGAAGCUAAUAUGCAUUUGUAUUAACCAGCUCAAGUGGAUUUAGAUUGAUUCAAUUGAUACAUGUAUGUUGCUGGAAAACUUAUGUUGUAUGCAUGUAUAUUUGUGCUGGAAUUGCUUAUGGUAAUUUCUCGCUCGAACUUUUGUUUUGAUAAGUGAGUUGUGAAAACCGGUUAUAUGGGUUGUGUAUAAAGUUAAAUUUGGUUAGUUGCUAGUUAAUUGUGGGUUGAGAAUU